rnacentral:rRNA from 1 species
GGGGAAUUUUGGACAAUGGGCGCAAGCCUGAUCCAGCAAUGCCGCGUGCAGGAUGAAGGCCUUCGGGUUGUAAACUGCUUUUGUACGGAACGAAAAGGCUCUGGUUAAUACCUGGGGCUCAUGACGGUACCGUAAGAAUAAGCACCGGCUAACUACGUGUCAGCAGCCGCGGUAAUACGUAGGGUGCAAGCGUUAAUCGGAAUUACUGGGCGUAAAGCGUGCGCAGGCGGUUAUAUAAGUCAGAUGUGAAAUCCCCGGGCUCAACCUGGGACCUGCAUUUGAGACUGUAUAGCUAGAGUACGGUAGAGGGGGAUGGAAUUCCGCGUGUAGCAGUGAAAUGCGUAGAUAUGCGGAGGAACACCGAUGGCGAAGGCAAUCCCCUGGACCUGUACUGACGCUCAUGCACGAAAACGUGGGGAGCAAUC